rnacentral:rRNA from 1 species
CAAGGUGAGAGAUACGGAGGUAGAGCACUGAAUGUCCUAGGGGGUAUUGCACCUACCGAAGACUAUCAAACUCCGAAUGCCGUCAUCUUAUACUUGGGAGUCAGACUGUGGGUGAUAAGAUUCAUAGUCGAAAGGGCAACAGCCCAGAUCGUCAGCUAAGGUCCCUAAAGGUAAGUUAAGUGGUAAAGGAUGUGGGAUUGCACAGACAACCAGGAUGUUGGCUUAGAAGCAGCCACUCAUUCAAAGAGUGCGUAAUAGCUCACUGGUCGAGUGAUCCUGCGCCGAAGAUUUCCGGGG